UUUCGGUCAUAUCAAAUUGAAACAUUGGUUCCUGUGAGAUCACCGAAGUCAAGCAGCGUCAAACCUGAUCAGUACCUAGAUGGGUGACCGAUUGGGAAUACCUGGUACUGUAAG